GACGAACGCUGGCGGCAGGCUUAACACAUGCAAGUCGAGCGCCCCGCAAGGGGAGCGGCAGACGGGUGAGUAACGCGUGGGAAUCUACCCAUCUCUACGGAAUAACGCAUGGAAACGUGUGCUAAUACCGUAUACGUCCUUCGGGGGAAAGAUUUAUCGGAGAUGGAUGAGCCCGCGUUGGAUUAGCUAGUUGGUGGGGUAAAGGCCUACCAAGGCGACGAUCCAUAGCUGGUCUGAGAGGAUGAUCAGCCACACUGGGACUGAGACACGGCCCAGACUCCUACGGGGGGCAGCAGUGGGGAAUAUUGGACAAUGGGCGCAAGCCUGAUCCAGCCAUGCCGCGUGAGUGAUGAAGGCCCUAGGGUUGUAAAGCUCUUUCACCGGUGAAGAUAAUGACGGUAACCGGAGAAGAAGCCCCGGCUAACUUCGUGCCAGCCGCCGCCGUAAGAC
rnacentral:rRNA from 1 species